CCCAUGUUGACUAAAGACGAGCUGGCAACAAUUCAGAAUGGACUUGGUUCAAGUUGAUCUUCGUUGCUGACAACACAGCUGAUCUGUGAAGUACACAAGACAUGCACGUUAGAAAAGAAGGUCACUGAGAACAGGCUGAGGGUUGGUGAGUGGCCUGCCUUGCAGGGCUGGUGUACGGCCAUUUUGCAAAAGCUCAGCAGAGCAAGAGGGAGGAGCGAUCCGGCAGCCAUUACACCCACUUGUCGAUGGAUGUCCAGAAUCAGCAGCAUCCACCGCAGUCCUUUUCAUCCUGGGCAACGACUGAGCCAGGAUAGACUUCUUUUUGGUUUGUUUCUCCAUAAAGGUAGUGGAAAAUGAACACGCAAAAAUACUGUGAGUCUUUCAAAUCCAGACUGAGAAAGCUUUGGUACACAAUACACCAGAUCUCACGGUUGUGGAAAAGAAAAGAAAAAUUGGAUUAUUGAUGUCGUCAUACCAGGUGACAGUCAAUUGACAAAAAACAACAGGAAAAGCUCAGCCGUUAUCAGGACCUCAAAAUCGAACCACAAAAGCUCUGGCAUAAACCAGUAUAGGUGGUUCCAGUGGUAAUUGGCACACUUGAGUGCCAUGCCAAAAGAUCUCAGACAGCAUUUGAAAACAAUAAACAUUGACAAAAUCACGAUCUGUCAACUGCAGAAUGAUGAUCUGUGUGCAUCAUUCGAAAAUACAUCACACACUCUUAAACGCUUGGGAAGUGUUUGACUUAUGAUUUUGUGAUACAAAAUCCAGCAUAUACAUCUUGUUUGCUGUGUCAUACUGUAUUUUUGUGUCAGAAUAAUAAUAAUAAUAAUAAUAAUAAUAAUAAUAAUAAUAAUAAUAAUUUGCAUGUUUUCGAACUGCUAGGUUGGCAGGAGCUAGGGCUAACAGUGGGAGCUCACCUCAUCCUGCGGAUUCGAACUGCCAACCUUCAGGUCAGCAGUUCAGCAGCACAAGGGUUUAACCCAUUGCACCACCACAGCCCCUGGAAGGUUGACUGUUAAGGUAAUUUUCAACAUCGCUAGGAUAGGCAGGGUUUGGAUUCAGCUGGUCCUUCUUGGUCGAUUUUGAUUACAAUUCUACUUGGAAAUAAAUGAAACUAAUAAGGCAUCGUUCUGGGCCAAUGUAUAUAGAUAACUUUGUUAAAACCUAUAAACAACAGAUGAGGCCAUAGUCCAUUCUUGGAUCAAAUGUUUUACCCUUAAUUUCGCAUUUUCCUUAAUUUUGUUACUUUUACUGCUACAAAUUUGAUGGUUGCAUCUAAAACACGUCUUCCCCCAAAAAUAACAAAUUAAUUGUGUUUUCCUCUUUUUUUCCUUGGAAUGAACAGGGCUUCCUAUCAUGAGUUCCUAGAAAUGCCUUUUUCUCAGAACAAUCAGUAGCAGCAUAAACCUAUUGCUAUUUUCUGCCUGCUUUCUGUUGAUGGCAGUGGUAACAGCAUGUUUCACUGGAGGGAGUGGAACAGACGUGACUAGUAAAAAGAAAGUAUUUCAGAAUAUUAAAAAUUGUAAAUUAAGGCUCAAGUUAUCUAUUGAUUAAGGGUGAUCUCUUGAAUUUCGCUGAAUUUUCUUAGCAAGGAAUACUCAGAGGUUGCCAGAUUCUUCUUCAGAAAUAUAACUUGCGGCAUCUAGUAUUUAUUGAUCUCCCAUCCAUGAAAUUAUAUGAGAUUCGGUAUCUCCAGGAUGAAAUCCAACCAAUGCUCAAAAGUGGAUGGAGUGGCCACAAAUUUAUCUUGUUGCCUGGAACCCGUAUGUGGACAGAGAUUUUUGAGGUCUGUAACAUGGUCUUUAAAAUGACCUUGGAUAUAGCAACCUAUCACAGAAAGGACUUCUUUUUGUUGGGUGUCAUCUUGGAUUCCAUAAGUCUCCAGUCCCAAAUGAGCAGAUAGACUGGGAAAACAGGAUUAGAAUGAGGGAUUCCUUUCCCUAUUCCUAUGCAUGCCUUCCUAGAACGGGCUUUCUGUCUCUACUCCUCUCUUCCUGUUUGCUACUAUCUCCUCCCCCAUUUAUUGAUGUAGAAAUGUGAUCUCUUUGAGAUAUGAGGUAACCUCCUCUCUAUUGCCAAUAGUUGGCCUCCAUUUUCCUUCUCUUUUGCCUUUUGUCUCCUCCUGUGAGGACGCAUCUUGCCAUUCUCCAGGCAAGAUGUAGCUGCAUGCAUAUUUUUCCGAUAUCUUUACCUUUUGCCUUCCUUAGAAUAGGAGACUUAGAAAGUUACUUAGCUCCAAGAACUUUACUAUCUAGAAUGUAUUUCUUUUACUUCAAUAAAUAUUUUUGAACUUCUAUUUUUGGCUCUGCAAUCCUGUGCCAUCCUAAGCAACAGAGGCUUAUCCCAGUUCACCACACGUAAAUUUCUGCUGGUUAUGAAGUGUGCUUCUGGUGCUCUGCUCUAUUUUUAAUGAAAUCACCACAAGAAAGGGUUAUUUAUUUAGUCUAACCACUCAUAGAUUCCCAACACUUUUAAAUUGAGGAAUGUCUUCUAUCACUGUAUAGUUGAAGGCAUUCAUGGUCAGGAUCACUGGGUUGCUAGCCACAGAUUCAGGCAAAGCAUUAGGAGAAAAUGCUACAGGAACAUGGCCAUACAAGCCGCUCCGAGCCCUAGGGGAGUGGUGGCAUAUAAGUUUGAAAAAUAAAUAAAUAAAUAAAAAUACAGCCUGAAAAACUCACAGCAGGUCAUCUUCUAUCUUCAAACAAAUGUGUUGCUUUAAAAAUGAUAUAUAGCCACCCUGGAAGUGAGCUUUACUCCACAGUACACUUGGAUCGCAAGCUUACAUUUUGUUUUGCUGUUCUGUUACUACAGUCUCCAAAAUAUUAUCAUUUGAAGAACUUGAUAUACCACAAACGAGGCUCAUGUGGCCCAGUUGUUUUCCUCCAACUCCCAUCUUCCCUGGACAGCACAGCCAAUGGUGAAGGCUAAUCCACAGAAUGUGGGAGGCCACAAUUUGCUUGGCCUUGUUCUAUUUCAUUGUAUUGAGAGUGAACAAAAGAAAAGCUGGGUGUUUUCAAACAGGGUAGUUCAAACCAUUUGAGCUUGAACAGAUGGUACUGAAAACAAAUGCAAAACUGAGCACUAGCGGCAUCAUCAAUGUUAUAUUUGUAUUCCCAUAUUCAUAACUGGUACAGUCUUGUUGGAACUCAAAAGGACCUUCAUGCCCCAUAUAUAAAAAUGUGUAACUGUCCCCUCUUAAGGCUGUAUCUUCUGUAUAUGUACUUAUACUCAGCCAACCUCAUGAAUAAGUUGAAGGCAGAUUUGAGAGCUGUAAUGAUGGAUUUUAAUAUGACCUGUGGAGAAGCCGAGGGUUGUUCUGCAAAGGGGGAAAGCACCAGUGCCCUGGCUGCCGCUGCUGUUUUUCCAUCCAGGCAUUCAAAAAGACCAGAAGCACAACAUAGCAGGGAGAAUAGAUUGGAUCAGUUCUCCUGAGAUGGACUAAUCUCUGACAUUUUACUCUAUUCCAGUGGUUCUCAACUUUCCUAAUGCCAUGACCCCUUAAUACAGUUCCUCAUGUUGUGGUGACCCCUAACCAUAAAAUUAUUUUUGUUGCUACUUCAUAACUGUAAUUUUGCUACAGUUAUGAAUCGUAAUGUAAAUAUCUGAUAUGUAGGACGUAUUUUCAUUCAUUGGACCAAAUUUGGAAGAAAUACAUGAUACGCCCAAAUUUGAAUACUGGUGGGGUUGGGAGGGGAUUGAUUUUGUCAUUUGGGAGUUGUAAUUGCUGGGAUUUAUAGUUCACCUACAAUCAAAGAGCAUUCUGAAGGCCACCAGUGGUGGAGUUGAACCAGUCUUGGCACACAGAACUCCCAUGACCAACAGAAAAUACUAGAAGGGUUUGGUGGUCAUUGAGCUUGAGUUUUAGAAUUUGAGUUCACCUACAUCCAGAGUGCAUUGUGGACUCAAAAAAUGAUGGAUCUGGGUUGCUGUGAGUCUUCCAGGCUGUAUGGCCAUGUUCCAGAAGCAUUCUCUCCUAAGGUUUCUCCCACAUCUAUGGUAGGCAUUCUCAGAGAUUGUGAGGUCUGUUGGAAAAUAGGCAAGUGAGGUUUAUACAUAUAUUUCCAGGAUGGGAAAUUGUCUGCUUGAAGCAAGUGUGGAUGUUUCAAUUUGUCACCUUGAUUAGCAUUGAAUGGCCUUGCAACUUCAAAGCCUUUGUUGGGAGGUAUUAACUGGUUAUGAUUGUUUCCUGUCCCAACAAAGGAUUCCCCCAGGUAGGAAGCAGACAGGCUUUGAAGCUGCAAGGCCAUUCAAUGCUAAUCAAGCUAGCCAACUGUAACAUUCUCACUUGCCUCCAAGAGACUAGUGUUCUUUCUCCCACUCUGGACAUUCCACAGAUCUAUAAAUCUCACUGGCCUAGAAAAGGACAGGCGGAGAUAUCUUCAGCAUUCUCUGCCAAAGGGGUUCCUAAGACCCAUCAGAAAUAUGGUUUUCUGAUGGUCUUUGGUGACCCCUCUGACAUCCCCCUCAUGAUCUCCCAAGGGGUCCCAACCCCCAGGUUGAGAAACGCUAUUCAGUUCAGAGAAGAGGAUGGUUCCUAUAUAUGUGUGUGAGAGUUAAGGUACAGUGCUCCCAUUGACCCAUGGAUAAGUCAACCCAGUUUUGAGGGAUUGAUUUUUUUGAUAAAAUGUGUAGAGCUCUGUAAUAAUAAUACCAUGUUUCCCCGAAAAUAAGAUAUUCCCUGAAAAUAAGACCUAGUGGAGGUUUGGGAGAAUUGCCAAAUAUAAGACAUGCCCCAAAAGUAAGACCUAGGAAGAGGAAGCUGCCAUCGCCGAGGAAGGUGCAUGCAGCGUGAAGGAGGAGGAAAAGGUGAGCGCUUUUCUCUCCUCCUUCCCUUCCCCAGUAGCGAUGGCUCCCUCUUGUUCCUCUGCCAAGGAAGGCGAAGGACAGGAAGGAAAGACACACGCCUUUCCCUCCUUCUCCUUUGCGCCGCAUGCGCCUUCCUCGGUGGAGGAGAAGGGAGCAAAAUAAGACAUCCCCUGAAAAUAAGACCUAGUGUGUCUUUGGGGGGGGGGAUAUAAGACAUUGUCUUAUUUUCGGGAAAACACGGUAAUAAUAAUAACAACAAGAACAACAACAACAAAACUUUAUUUAUAUUCCGCCCUCUCUCCCCGAAGGGACUCAGGGCGAAUUCACAACAAAAGAUGGCAAACAUUCAAUGCCAGAUCCAACUCAUAAAUAAGAAACAUGUGUAUAUAGGGUCAUUCCUUUCUGACCUCAUUAUUAAUAAUUCCACCCCACAACUAGGUAUACUGUGGUAGCAUUGGUAUCGCUGAACAACAUGCCCCCGAUAAAGUAAGCUAUAUUCAAUGAGGAAAAAUAUUUGUUUUUAAGAUUUCACAGCUCUUUGUUCUCAGUAGGGAAUAAGUACUGUGGAUCUACUUCUAGAAGACUGGAAACAGAAGAUAUUUGACAUUUUCAGAAAGCGGAGGGCAGAAAAACCAAGGCUUUGUGUGUAUCGAGUGCAAAGGCACCUCACAAUUGCCUCUGCUCACAGUUCUUUGUGAUUCUUCAAAACCUGCAAAGCCUGCUGGAGGAGAGACGAUAAUGAGGCCAAAAAGAAUAAAGAGUACCCCAUGGGAAAGGCUGCCUGUACGAUAGCACCUUGAACUCUCAGAAAUUACUGUCUGUCUCCAGCCUGGGUAAAUAUACCUAGGAUUAGAUUGCACAGCGCUUUACUUUGAGAAAAAGUAUACUUAGGAGCAUAGCCUUGGAGCUUGAUCUUAUGCUAAAGUAAGCAUGCUGAAAUCCAUUGAUUUCAGUAGGCUUAAGCACACUUUACCAUUGUGUAGGAUUAGGCUGCUCCUGGGUCAAUGGGCCUUUGAACUUCUGAAGGUGACUUUUUGGUUCUACAUGGUAACAAUUACUGCUGUGCAUCAAAGACAGUAUGCCUCUCAAUGCUACUUGGAGGAAAAUAGAAACAAAAGAGUAUGUACUUUACCACACAAACCAGUUACACUACAGUCACAUUAUAACUGAUAAAAGAUAUAUACUUUGUUUGAGCAUCCUCGAUAUUGCACCUCUCUUCACGCAACUGCACUGAUUUGCCAAUUCAUGGUUUCGCAAUUGUACUCCCACGAACACUUAUAGGUCCACCUUCCUUAAUUUUUUUUAACACAAUAGUGCAGCACUUAAAAAACAAAAAAAAUCUAAGAAAAAUAGAAAAUAAAAGAAAAAUAGUUAGCUUGGGAAUACCAAGGAAGGCAGGGAAAAGGAGUGAGGAGGAAAAUCCCACCUCCUGACUUCACUUUACUGCCACUAUGGCAGCACAGAAGUGAAAGGGAUCCACUGCCCCAACAUAAGGAGUCACUGUGGCGCAAUGGGUUAAACCCUUGUGCUUGCUGAACUGCUGACCUGAAGGUUGCUGGUUUGAAUCCAUGAGACAGGGUGAGCUCCUGUCUGUCAGAUCUAGCUUGCAGGGACAUGAGAGAAGCCUCCCAGCUAACAUAUCCGGGCAUCCCCUGGACAAUAUCUCUGUAGAAAGCCAAUUCUCUCACACCAGAAGUGACUUGCAGUAUGUUUUCAAGUCGCUUCUGACUCAAUAAAAAACUGCACCAAGGUGAAUAACAGGAAUGAUAUUGGAUUGUGAUAUAUUGUCAGGUUUUAUGCAUGCUCUGAUUUCUCUUCAGAUCAUAUAAAUCUUUCACCUUUUACUAAAGAAGCCCAUGGAGAGGAACAUUUAUGAGUUGGGCCACAGCAUAGCACCGCGGGUUAACCGCCAGCUACAGAAGAUCUUGCCGACUGGAAGGAUAGCUGUUCAAGCCGUGAGCGAGGUGAGCACCUGCCGUCAACCUAGCUUCUGCCUACCUAGCAGUUCGAAAACAGCAAUGUGAGUGGAUAAAUAGGUACUGCUUAUACCGGGGAGGAAAAGAGCACCUCUAAAAAACAUGCCGGCAGUCCAAUCAGGAAGGCGUCUAUGAACAACGAAGCUCCUCGGUGUGGAAUAAUGGAGCAACAGCACCUCCCCAUGGCCAAGUCGACUACAACCUCUAGAUGCUGGAGAUGGAAAAAAGAGGGAAGCCUGCCUCUGUUUAUGUACUACUCUAUUGUCGAUUAUAUAAUGGCAUUGAAUGUUUGUCAUAUAUGUACCUGUAAUCCGCUCUGAAUCUCCUUGGGGAGAUAGAGCAGAAUAUAAAUAAAGUAUAUUUAAGUAUAUAUUAACAGCUAGUGAUAGGAGAAUCACAGGGACAUCAGCAGCAGGAUACACAGAGCAUCAUUUUAUAGCUAUAAUGCUGAUUUGGCUGCUUUAUGCAAUAAAGUCCUUUGUUUUAUUAGUGAGCAUGCCAAAAAUAUUUAGUUGGCUCCUGUGAAAACAGAAGUCUGGUCUAAGUCUUUGAAUCUGGUUGUCCAUGAUGCAUGUUUCAUCUGUGAUUUCCAGUUGUCCAAAAAGAGCCAGGAUGUGGGGAACAAACCAGCAUGACUACCUCUUGGGCCUUUGCCAUGGGUUUGAUCUGGAGAAAUCAGCCAGAAAUAGGAAGAUUUACUCUCCCUGCCAUCACUUGCCAAACACAUCUGGCUGUUUUUACAGGCAGAGCCGUUGUGGCUGGUGGAAACAUUGGUAAAAGCAACACUAGCCCCAUUAAGCUUGAAAGCAAAGAUGAAGAUCAAAGUAAUGUUUACACAUCCAGGAAAAAUACAUUACUUUAAAAAAACAUUAUCUGUAAUUGCUGUUACAUAUUGGAAUACAAAAAAACCUUCUGAGCAAAAAUAAUCUUGUGAAUAGAAGAUCCUUGGCAGCUCCACAAUGUAAAAUAAACCAGUCGGAAGCAC